rnacentral:lncRNA from 1 species
AUUUCAUUAGUAUGUGAAAUUGCUUCAAUUUCUAAUAAACGAUAAAAUUCUAUGUCUAUCAAAGGAUUAUUCUCAAAUUUUUUCAUGCUUUACUACCAGUAAAAGUUUGGUUUGAGUACCUACUUUAUACACCUAUAGACAUACGUGUGAUGUUUAAUUCCAGUUGUCAACCUGAUGAGUUAUAGUUCACCUGGGAGAAGAACUUCUGGGCAUGACUGUGAGAAUUGUCUUCAUUAGGUUAAUUAACCCAUGGGUGCUAUGGGUGAGGUUCUGGACUGUAUAACAGGGAGGAAAUGAGCUGAACCCUGGGAUUCAUCUCUCUUUGCUUCCUGACUGCUCCCAUGACUUCCUUCCGUGAUAACUGCUACCCACUAAUACUGAAGAUUUCACCUCGUUUCAUUGAUUCUAACCAUAUCUUCAUGAACUAGAAAGAUGAAAAAGAAUGUCACUUGGAGACAAAGAAGGCCAAGAACCUUUCACUGGUGAAAAGAGGGUGGAGAAACUAUUGUGUGUCCAGCAGUUGAUCUGGAAUCUUCCAGGCUCUUUCUCUCUUUGGAACCAACCAUGGCCAGCCUCUGCUUCUGGUGUUAAAAGAUGAACAUGUGGCUGAUGUAAAGGACGCUUUGUUGUCUGCCUGCACCUGUGCAAAGCCUCCAGUCAGAUUUUGACACUUCACUAUUGAGCAAGCCAGCAGUUGCACACGGAGACCCUGAGGAGAGGAAAAGCUCCUUAAGCAGGAAGAUAAACAGCUCUAACUAGCUUCAGAAAGUCCCUGAAACUGAGAAGAUUCACUAGGCUCCUCACUUCCAGAGUAAGCAAUAAAAGCUGCCAGUUACUCUCAAAGGGAAGGAAGCUGAGCUGCAAAGAAGACUCUGAGACCAGAGCAACUGCCUGGAAGAAACAGAAACCAUCAGAGAUGCCUG